CGCCUCCUGACCACCCAUAGGAGGUCCAGCCUGCCCAGUGACUAAGUUAAACGGCCGCGGUACCCUAACCGUGCAAAGGUAGCGCAAUCACUUGUUCUUUAAAUGAGGACUAGUAUGAACGGCAUCACGAGGGUUAUGCUGUCUCCCUACUCUACUCAGUGAAACUGAUCUCCCCGUGAAGAAGCGGGGAUAAAAAUAUAAGACGAGAAGACCCCAUGGAGCUUUAAACUCAGUACCAACUGCCCUAACAAUAACCUAUUACCCUUGCAGCCAUGGUCACUAGUUUUCGGUUGGGGUGACCACGGAGUAAAAUUUAACCUCCACGAUGAAAGGAACUAAUAUCCUAACCUAUGAGCUACAGCUCUAAGUAUCAACAAAUUGACUAAUUGACCCAAUUACUUGAUCAACGAACCAAGUUACCCUGGGGAUAACAGCGCAAUCCAUUUCAAGAGCUCAUAUCGACAAAUGGGUUUACGACCUCGAUGUUGGAUCAGGGUAUCCCAGUGGCGCAGCCGCUACUAAUGGUUCGUUUGUUCAACGAUUAAAACCCU
rnacentral:rRNA from 1 species